rnacentral:snRNA from 1 species
AUUGCUUCUUGGCCUUUUGUUUAAGAUCAAGUGUUGUAUCUAUUCUUAUCAGUUUAAUAUCUGACUCAUCCUCUAUCCAAGGACAAUAUAUUAAAUGGAUUUUUGGAGCAAGGAGAUAUAACAGGAGCUUGCUUCAUCCAUUCCAUGCAUUAAUCUGGUAUUGCAGCACCUCCAGGAACAGUGUACCCCUU